rnacentral:rRNA from 1 species
UACGUAGGUGGCGAGCGUUGUCCGGAUUUACUGGGCGUAAAGAGCGCGCAGGCGGUCGUACAAGUCGCGUGUGAAAGCCCCUGGCUCAACUGGGGAGGGUCACGCGAUACUGUUCGACUCGAAGGCAGGAGAGGGAAGUGGAAUUCCCGGUGUAGUGGUGAAAUGCGUAGAUAUCGGGAGGAACACCAGUGGCGAAGGCGACUUCCUGGCCUGUUCUUGACGCUGAGGCGCGAAAGCUAGGGUAGCAAACGGG